AGCGAACGCUGGCGGCAGGCUUAACACAUGCAAGUCGAGCGCCCCGCAAGGGGAGCGGCAGACGGGUGAGUAACGCGUGGGAAUCUACCCAUCUCUACGGAAUAACGCAUGGAAACGUGUGCUAAUACCGUAUACGUCCUUCGGGAGAAAGAUUUAUCGGAGAUGGAUGAGCCCGCGUUGGAUUAGCUAGUUGGUGGGGUAAAGGACUACCAAGGCGACGAUCAAUAGCUGGUCUGGGAGGAUGAUCAGCCACACUGGGACUGAGACACGGCCCAGACUCCUACGGGAGGCAGCAGUGGGGAAUAUUGGACAAUGGGCGAAAGCCUGAUCCAGCCAUGCCGCGUGAGUGAUGAAGGCCCUAGGGUUGUAAAGCUCUUUCACCGGUGAAGAUAAUGACGGUAACCGGAGAAGAAGCCCCGGCUAACUUCGUGCCAGCCGCCGCCGUAAUAC
rnacentral:rRNA from 1 species